GAAUAGGUAUCCGAACAUCUAUCCCUAUAACCGGUGGUAAAAAGAGCCAUGAGUGAUAAAAAUGAGUCACCGAUCACUGGAACCUAAUUUUUUUUAUCAAAAUGUUCUUAGAGAGAUGUCGGAGAAAAUCUAGAAAGAAAUUAAAUAUUUAGAUUUAAAGUUCAAUGAAUUUUUUUCUCAUCCAAUAAUUAAUAUGCAACACCUUUAAUCAUUUGUUCAAUAAUUUGGUGUAGACAAGAUAACAAUAAGGUAAAAUAAAAUAAAAUAAAAUAAAAUGAAGGAGGGAAUCUCCAAGCUUCUCGACUCUUCUAUGAUUCAUUGCUAUAAGCUUUGUUCGACAAUGUCACCACCAUUUUCUUCAUCUAUAAAGAAAACUUUCAUCGUCUCCCUUCGUAUCUCCUCAUAUAUCUCUUAUCUUCAGAGAGGACAUGUGACAAAAUUACUUCGCAAAUAUAGUCUAGGGGAUGGGACAGUAUAUUUUAAUUGCGCUCCUAACUUUCAAGUAAGCUUGCAUGACCCAACCAUACUCAAUACUUUAACUUAAAUUACCAAACGACAUGGAUAUCUACUACUCUAUCGAGUUUAUUUGAAGCAAUCAACAUCUGAAUUUAACCCAAGAUAUCUAUUACAAGAUGAUAAAGGAGAAACAACAAUUCUAGCAGUCCAUAGUAAAGAUACACCAACAGCUACAUAUACACCAAAUCAAUUAAAAUGGGAUGAAAUAACUAUUCCAGAUCAAUGGAAAAUUGAAGUUACUCAACCUCCUAGAAAUUUUGAACAAAAGAAUAUAUCCAAAAUAAUUGAACAGAAAGAUGGAAAAAAUAUUACUAAGGUUUGGAUCUUAUUGGGAUCCACUUCCACCUAGAAUAAGUUCAUAUCAUUCAAGAGCCUCUUUUUCUGAAUAUCGUACGGGUCAAUCCAGUAUAAAUUCAGAAACAGAAAGUGUAAAUCAAAAUACUAAACAAGAUGAACCGAUAAAAUUUAAAGCACCUUUACCAGAACCAGAUCAAGAUGCAUAUCCAACAUCACCUACUCCAUCAGAUUUUAGAUCAAUAAAUGUUGUAAUUAAAAAAUACGAAAUUGAUAAACAAUAUAUAAAAGAAGACUUUUAUUCAAAAGAAAAUGAAGAAAAACGAAGCUGGUAUUUUAAAACUUUUUCUAAACAACAGACUAAAGAGUAUACAGAAAAAUGGUAUGAUUGUAUGAUACUAAAAGAAAUGAAUAUUCCAUUUUUCAUAUGGUUUGAAAUUUAUUCAAUAGGUCAUAAUAUUAAUUAUCCAUUCAGGACGAUUAAUGCAAGUACAUCAUUAAACCAAGUAUGGGAACAAGUGGAUGGAAAUAAAAUUAGAGCAAUUCAUUCACCUUUAAAUGAUUUAAAAACAAAUACUCUAAACCGACAAAUUUUAGCUACACCCUUUAAAACUGGAGCUAACAAAGAUGAUAAAGAACCAGUAUUACUGCAAGAUAUUAAAUCUAUAUAUCAACAUAACAAUUAUGAAAGUCAAAUACUACAUACAAGAAUCUAUAAUUAAUCAUGUUGAAAUAAACAACAAAAAGAUGAAGAAGGAUUUAUGAAUGAUAUAGAAGUACAAAAUGCAGUAGAAGUAUUAAUACAUACUUUAACAAUGCAUUUUAUCGAAAAUCCUAAAGAAGAAUUAGAAAGUAAAAAAUUAUAUUAACAAAUUUAAGGUGUCCAACAUUAGGAGAUUUUAAAUGGUACAAAGAUGUUUUUAUAACUAACAUAUUCCAAAGAAACGAUUGUAAUCAAGCAUUUUGGAAAGAGCGGUUUAUCUCAGGAUUACCAUCUUUCUUUACAAAAAGAAUAAUCAGUAAAUUAAAAGAGUAUUCAGGAGGACAACCAAUCCCUUGGAAUAAAAUUACUUACGGUCAAUUAUUUGCAUUUAUAAAAAAAAGAAGGAUUAGCUAUAUGUUAAGAACAUAAAGAUAAAAAACGAAAUGAUAAAUUUAAAUUUAAAAUAACUAUGGGAUCAUUUUGUGAUCAGUAUGGCUAUAAUCAACUUAACCCUCCGUCAAGAAUUAAACGACUAAGCAUAGGCAUAAUAAAACUACGUAUUUUCAUAAAAAUAAUAAAUUUAAUAAAAAAUCAACAAAUCAAUACUAUGCAAAGAUUAAUAAGCACAAAUCAAAUAAUAACCAAAAGAUAGUAUGCUGGAAUUGUAAAAGACCUGGACAUAAAUCCACGGUGUGUAAAAUGAAAAAGAAGAUAAAUGACAUUUUUUCAAAAUCAACCAGAUAUACAAGAAAAAUUAACUAAACUAUUAAUAUCAGAAUCAAAAACAUCAGAAGAAUCGAAUAGUGAUAACUCUAUAGAUGAGAUAGAAAAUAUUAGUGAUUCUUCAAUAGAAUCACAAGAAUUGUCUGAUAAUCUAUCCAAUUGUAAAACUAUUAACUUUAUAACAAAAUAUAUUGAUAAACAAUUUCUACUAGACAUAACUGAUAAAAUUGACGACCCAAAAAUUAAGAAAGAAUAUUUAACUAAACUAAAAGAUAUAAUAUACCGAGAAAACCAAUUAUAUAGCCCUCAACCCUUUAGUUUAAAUAAAAUAUUUGACAAAUAUCCUACACAAAGUUUAUUUAAGCAAGUAACUACAGGAGACCUACAAAAUGAAGUUAAGCAAUUAAAGACACAGAUUAAAGAAUUACAAUUAAUAGUAAAUCAACACGAAUUAAAACAAUUGCAAACAUAUGCUAUAUUAUCAUUAUUCGAAGCAAAAAAUACUACUCCAGCAUCUACAAGUAGUUUAAAUCAAGCAUCCACAAGUAAUACAAAUCUAGAAAGUGACGAAAAUAAGCAAAUUGGACCUACCGAAGACUAAAUUUCAAAUCAUUAAUAAAUUCAAUUAUCAAAAAUGGUAUACAAAUAUUACCUUACACGUGGGACAUGAUUUCAAAAUAAAUAUAAUAGCAUUAAUGGAUACAGGUGCUAACUACAAUUGUAUUCGCGAAGGAAUUAUACCAACUAAAUAUUAUGAAAAAAACUAUUGAAAAUUAAGUGGAGCAAACGGAAGUAAUUUAAAAGUUCAAUAUAAAUUACCAUGUGCAAAAAAUAUGUAACCAAGGAUAUUGCUUCGAAAAUCAAUUUAUUCUAGUAAAAAACUUAACACAAGAAGUGAUAUUAUGAACUUCAUUUUUUACUCAAAUAUAUCUGUUCAAAGUAACAGAAAUAGGAGUAACUACAAAAGUAGUAGGAACAAAUUAUCGUUUGAAUUCUUAUCACCUAUGAAAACCAAAGAAAUACUAAACUUACAGCAAAAUUCCAUUCAAAAAACCAUUAAUUUAAUAAAAGGAAAACAUAAUCAUAUACAAUAUCUACAAAUUGAAAUAGCAUACAAAAAAAUAGAAGAACAACUUAAGAUGCUUUACAUAAUAAGCAAGAUAAAAGCUAUUGAAAAUGAUAUACUAAACUAAAUCUGCUCAGAACUGCCAAAUGCCUUUUGGGAAAGAAAACAGCAUACAGUUGAACUUUCAUAUAUAAAAAAUUUUAACGAAAGAAAUAUACCAACUAAAGCACGACCUAUUCAAAUGAAUAAGGAAUUAUUAGAACACUGUAAAAAAGAAAUAAAAAAUUUAUUAGACAAAAAUUUAAUCAGGCCAUCCAAAUCUCCCUGGAGCUGUUCGGCCUUUUAUGUAAAUAAUCAAGCCGAAAAAGAGCGUGGAGUACCACGAUUAGUAAUAAAUUAUAAACCAUUAAAUGAUGUAUUACAAUGGAUAUGAUAUCCAAUACCUAACAAAAGAGAUUUAUUAAAACGACUUUAUAAUACAAAAAUUUAUUCAAAAUUUGACAUGAAAAGUGGCUUUUGGCAAAUACAAAUUGCCGAAAAAGAUAAAUAUAAAACAGCAUUCACCGUAUCAUUUGGACAUUAUGAAUGGAAUGUAAUGCCUUUUGGCCUUAAAAACGCACCUUCUAAAAUUUCAACAUAUAAUGAAUGAUAUAUUCAAUAAUUAUUCAAAAUUUACAAUUGUCUACAUAGAUGACGUAUUAGUAUAUUCAACUUCAAUAGACCAACACAUUAGUCACUUAAAUGCAUUCCUCAAUAUAGUUAAAAAAAAAACAUGGAUUAGUUAUAUCAGCCAAAAAAAUUUCUUUAUUCCAAACAAAAAUAAGAUUUUUAGGGCAUAAUAUAUAUCAAGGAACAAUCACACCUAUUUCAAGAUCAAUUGAAUUCGCAGAUAAAUUUCCUGAUGAAUUAAGAGAAAAGACCCAAUUACAAAAAAUUUUAGGAUGUCUCAACUAUGUUUCAGACUUCUUACCCAAUCUUAGGAAAACAAUUCAACAAUUAUUUCAACGGUUACAAAAGAAUCCAAAACUGUGGACUAAUCAACAUACUCUUUUAGUUAAACAAGUUAAGCAAAAGGUUAAAACCCUCCUUUGCCUUUCCAUACCAAAUCCUGAAGCUGACAUGAUAGUUGAAACUGAUGCUUCAGAAAUAGGUUAUGGAGGAAUUCUUAAGAAAAAAUUACCAUGAUCAAAACAAGAAUCUAUAGUUUGAUUCCAUUCAGGAGUCUGGUUAGGACCACAAAAGCAUUAUUCAACAGUUAAGAAGGAAGUUCUCUCAAUUGUUAAUUGUAUCUCAAAAUUCCAAGACGACUUAAUCAACAAAUUUUUUUAUUGCGAAUAGAUUGCAAAUCAGCAAAAUAAAUAUUACAAAAAGAUGUAAAAAACCUAGUAUCAAAACAAAUAUUUGCUAGAUGGCAAGCAAUAUUAUCCGUUUUCAAUUUUGAUAUUCAAUAUACUAAAUCAACAUAUAAUCAACAACAACAAGAUAUUCAAAAUGAGUGACCAGAAAAUGAAAAGCCUAUGUCUCAACUAUGUUUCAGACUUCUUACCCAAUCUUAGGAAAACAAUUCAACCAUUAUUUCAACGGUUACAAAAGAAUCCAAAACUAUGGACUAAUACUCUUUUAGUUAAACAAGUUAAGCAGAUGGUUAAAACCCUCCUUUGCCUUUCCAUACCAAAUCCUGAAGCUUACAUGAUAGUUGAAACUGAUGCUUCAGAAAUAGGUUAUGGAGGAAUUCUUAAGAAAAAAUUACCACGAUCAAAACAAGAAUCUAUAGUUUGAUUCCCUUCAGGAGUCUGGUUAGGACCACAAAAGCAUUAUUCAACAGUUAAGAAGGAAGUUCUCUCAAUUGUUAAUUGUAUCUCAAAAUUCCAAGACGACUUAAUCAACAAAUUUUUUUAUUGCGAAUAGAUUGCAAAUCAGCAAAAGAAAUAUUACAAAAAGAUGUAAAAAACCUAGUAUCAAAACAAAUAUUUGCUAGAUGGCAAGCAAUAUUAUCCGUUUUCAAUUUUGAUAUUCAAUAUACUAAAUCAACAUAUAAUCAACAACAACAAGAUAUUCAAAAUGAGUGACCAGAAAAUGAAAAGCCUAUGUCUCAACUAUGUUUCAGACUUCUUACCCAAUCUUAGGAAAACAAUUCAACCAUUAUUUCAACGGUUACAAAAGAAUCCAAAACUAUGGACUAAUCAACAUACUCUUUUAGUUAAACAAGUUAAGCAAAAGGUUAAAACCCUCCUUUGCCUUUCCAUACCAAAUCCUGAAGCUGACAUGAUAGUUGAAACUGAUGCUUCAGAAAUAGGUUAUGGAGGAAUUCUUAAGAAAAAAAUUACCACGAUCAAAACAAGAAUCUAUAGUUUGAUUCCAUUCAGGAGUCUGGUUAGGACAACAAAAGCAUUAUUCAACAGUUAAGAAGAAAGUUCUCUCAGUUGUUAAUUGUAUCUCAAAAUUCCAAGACGACUUAAUCAACAAAUUUUUUUAUUGCGAAUAGAUUGCAAAUCAGCAAAAGAAAUAUUACAAAAAGAUGUAAAAAACCUAGUAUCAAAACAAAUAUUUGCUAGAUGGCAAGCAAUAUUAUCCAUUUUCAAUUUUGAUAUUCAAUAUACUAAAUCAACAUAUAAUCAACAACAACAAGAUAUUCAAAAUGAGUGACCAGAAAAUGAAAAGCCUAUGUUUCAACUAUGUUUCAGACUUCUUACCCAAUCUUAGGAAAACAAUUCAACCAUUAUUUCAACGGUUACAAAAGAAUCCAAAACUAUGGACUAAUCAACAUACUCCUUUAGUUAAACAAGUGCCUUUCCAUACCAAAUCCUGAAGCUGACAUGAUAGUUGAAACUGAUGCUUCAGAAAUAGGUUAUGGAGGAAUUCUUAAGAAAAAAAUUACCACGAUCAAAAAAGGAAUCUAUAGUUUGAUUCCAUUCAGGAGUCUGGUUAGGACCACAAAAGCAUUAUUCAACAGUUAAGAAGGAAGUUCUCUCAAUUGUUAAUUGUAUCUAAAAAUUCCAAGACGACUUAAUCAACAAAUUUUUUUAUUGCGAAUAAAUUGCAAAUCAGCAAAAGAAAUAUUACAAAAAGAUGUAAAAAACCUAGUAUCAAAACAAAUAUUUGCUAGAUGGCAAGAAAUAUUAUCCAUUAUCCGUUUUCAAUUUUGAUAUUCAAUAUACUAAAUCAACAUAUAAUCAGCAAUAACAAGAUAUUCAAAAUGAGUGACCAGAAAAUGAAAAGCCUAUGACAGCAUCAGAUUAUAUCAAAAACCAACCACAUCUCCAAGGAAGGACUUUAACUCCAAACCCUUACUCAGCAUUAGCUGAAUAUCCUCCUCUAUCCUAUUCAAAAGCAGUCUCUGAAAAGUCAUCAAAGGAAGAAAUACAAUCAUCUACAGCAACCCUAAACACAACCACAAACACUUUCCCAAACACUAAACCAGUCUACUACACCAAACCUCAUAAGCAACACCUGAUGACGACCCCAUUCACCAAACCAAUAAAGCUUACUCAACUCAAAACCUUCAUCAAUCGAGUCUUCUACGAAGGCAGUCCCUGGCCAACAUACAACAUAAUCAAAAACCAAUCCUUUUAUGAGUAUAUUCUAGUAGACUCUAAAUCUGUAGAAAACACCCACUAUAAAAACAAGACAAACCCAAACCUCAUCAACUAUUCAACCUGCAAAUUCCUACGAAUCUGUUCUACCCAAGACCUUGGUUUUAUCCAUAAUCAUACAACUAAACCUUUUUUCACCCCAGGCUAUCAUAUCAACGGCUACACCUAUACCGAUUACAAAAAUGCCUUUUUCCGAGAUUUUUUACUUAGACCCUAUGACCACUCUUGGUUCUUCAGUUUUGAUCAAAACUGCACAAGGACGAUACCAGGAUGGUUCAACGAAUGGUGGUACUGGUUCGGACCAGCAGAUCCAAUCUACCCCGAAGAAGUGUUCAAGACCUCCUACCCAUUCUACAAGAAACACGUACUUGAUCAACCAGUUGGGCCUCUAAACAAAAUCUGGUUUUAUAUCGACAUGGGCAUCCCAUGGAUAUGUUCAUGGCAUUUUACCCUCGCUAUCGCUCUUCAAGACAUGCCUUAUUCUCUCCUCUGAGAAUUCAGAGUCAAAAGGUGGAAAAAAUAUAACAUCGACAUAUGUUCCCUCGCCAAUAUCCACCAAAUUACAAAUCAAGCCAAAACAGUAAUCCAAACUAUAUCCAAAUCCAUACCUCUUCUCAACCCAACCCAAUUAUCCCAAACAAAUCCAACUCCGCAAAAAAAACCAACAUCAAGUCCAACAAAUUCAACUACCUCUUCCUCUUCCCAGAAAUCAUCAAGAAAAGAAAAAAUGAAGAAACUUUUCGCCGAAAUGCUAGCACAAUUUGAGGCGGAAAAUAAUGAUACCGACGACGAUAACCAAUAAGUUGACAGUACGCAACCCGAAGAUCCUUACGGCGGCCCAUUAGACCAGGAUCCGUUUGAUAUUUAAUAAAAAAAAACAUGAAAAUAUGUCUAUAUUUAAAAUUUCGGUUUUAAUUUUUCCAAGUAUAUUCUAGUAGACUCUGUACAUUAUUUCUGUAUUUUUUUCUCUGUAUUUUAUUACUAUUACCUACAAAAUAAAAUACAGAGUAUAUCUGUAUAAGAAGAUUCGCGAAGAAGCUAUGCAAGAAUUUCCGAGAAAGAACCCGGCCGACAUUGGCGGGGCCCGCAUGUGACCCAUGUGAAGACUUCUGCAUAAAAACGACAACAGUCUCUGACAGCAAUUGUCGGCACCACUCAAGACUCAACAUGUAUUAAAUCAAGUGUCGGCACCACUAGAAGACGACACGUUGCAAGAUCUUAUUCAAGCAAACUUUGCCUAUAAAUACACAUUCAUGAUCAAGGAAGGGGGCACGAGCGAUUUCACUCUCUAAACUUCCACUAUAUAAAACUUUCCCUUCUCUCUAAAACUUCCUAGUGUUUUUGUGAGUUUUUAAGCUUGUAAUUUUGUAUCAAAAAUUGUAUCCCAAAUCAAGAUCAAUAAAAGUAAGUUUUAAUCAUAUUAUGUGUACAACAUUCAAAUCUUUAUAAAUGUCAAAUACUAAAAUUUUGUAUAUCAAAAUAGUAACAAAGUUACAAUAAUUAAAACAAAUUAUUAAGGAAUCAAUGAAGUCAAAGUUUUGGUCAAAUGCAAAACUGACAUUUUGCAAACUUCUCAGGCAGUCUACACUCAAUAAAAAGUCAAAAGUUUGGUCAAAUGCAUAAAUAACCUUUUUUACGUAGACGUCUUAGUAAGUCUACCUAACUUUUUGUUUUUGUUGUCAAAGAUAAAAACGAAGACCGCCGGAGAAGUCUGCGGUACAAAAAAUUUUUUUUUUGGUCAAAUGCAAAACUGACAUGUGCGUUGACAAGUAGAUUGCAUCGUAUGUCUGUAUAUAGGCGUAGAUAUACAAAACAGUCUAAUAUCUCGACACAUAUCUAAAAAAUGAUGAAAACCAUGUAAAUAGUUAUCUUAUUCUGGUAUAAAGCUCGUUUCCAACCUUCUCAAUCGUCCAAACUCCAAAUAUGAAAAAAGAACCGUUUUUAACGAUUCACUGAUGAAGAAAUUCGAAAAUAUGAAGUUUGUGUUUAUGAAAAUGAAAGUUAUGAGAGUUACUUUUCUAUACAAAUAUUUUCUUAUCUUUUUUGUCCACAUUAUAUUUUACUAACCAAAGAAUUUAUAAGAGUACAAAUAUUAAAAUUAACACAAAUUACAAGAUGGGAUACAUGUAGGCUUUAUGUUAUAAACAAAACACGUUUCUGCAAAGAGACAUGUAUCUGGAAUGAUCGAGAUUCUCCAUCAAUCUUCGUGCUUUCGGUAACCCUCAUGACCGUCUAAUCUCCGGCAGAUUUUCAUGUCUUUGUCAACAUUGUGGUUGUCACCAAGAUUUGUACUAUCUAAACUCACCUUUUUUCUCUUAACCACUGCUCCAAUAUGGGGCUCAAACAAUCUCUGGUGAUUUAGCACAAGGUAAUACAUAUAAGACUAGAGAAAACUCUUUAUUGGAUCAUCUUAAAAGCAAAACAUUAUAACUCAACUGAAUUUCGCAUACAACAUUUAAGAUAAAUCCAACUUCUCUAUCUUUCUUUUCAUUUGGGAUACUCACUCAUAUACCCGUAGAAAACGUAUUUGAGCACAACCCGAGAAAAAUACCCAAAUCAAAUCAAAACAAAACAAAACGAGAAAGAAUAGAUUCACGAAAGAUGAUAUUAUGUCUGGACUCGUCGGAAAAGAAGAUCUGUAACGGAAAGAGAAAUCCAGUUACACCAUAAUUAAAAUUCGAUUACGAUCAUUAAUUAAAAAAAAAAACAAAAUGGAACAA